rnacentral:misc_RNA from 1 species
AGAUAAAAGCUAUUCAGACUACACUGUUGAAUGUUCUUCAGUAACGGCUUGGUGAAUCUUGGAAAUAGCUGAUCCCUGAAAGUCAAAACAUCAUGAAAUGAAAAGAAGUGUGACAUUUUACUGUGUUGGCGAUAAAAUAAAGAGCACUUGGUGUGCGGUUGAGGAUGCUGGGAACUUUGGUAACAGCAGUUCCCUGGUGGUGACCUUGGCAGCUGCCAUCUACUUCAUUCGCCGCAGUUUGCAGCAGUGUGGAGCAAUUGGAGAUGGGUUUGCUGAGACAAGGGGGGACUGGCGUCCACAGCCUGACUCAGGAUAUCAAUCAGGUAACAACCAGACCGGCCGAGCUCGGAUGACGUGUCGUCGCCGUCGCCACCCUGAUGACACGGAUGGUGAAAGUCAAUAUGGGAAGAGAGCAAACAUGUCUGACGCCCAGGGUGGAAGGGACCAAGACAUCAGCAAUGAGUGCGCUGUUUGUUUCGAAAAUGAGGGCAAUAUAGAGUUAUCUCCCUGCUCACACACCAACGUGUGUAUAGACUGUGUGAACAAGAUCAUCACUGACUUGGACCGGAGCUGCCCAUUCUGCAGGAGCUACAUUCAGGCAUAUGCCGUGGUUGUCGGCAGCAGAGCACCUAGAUCGACAUGAAGCAUUGUCAGCUGAUUAUGUGCAGACUCUAUUCCCUACCUGACAAAUUUUACCAUUUUGUUUGUUGAUCAAGUGAUACAAGUAAAUACAAAAUUGUUGGUAUUUAGAGAUUGAGUAGGGUCAAACUGUCUGUGGAACAUCAGUGGCUCAUCCUGAGAAAAAUGUCCUGCAAAGUGAUUAAGACGAACUUCAAGGUGGUGUGUGGUCAAGGUCGUUCGUUGUGGAAGAUGUGUGGCCAGAGCUGCUGAGGUGGUAGAUGUGUUACUAGGUAAUGCUGGCCUUUGAAGAUGAGUGACUAGAUCAUGCUGGCCUUUGAAGAUGUGCGACUAGAUCAUGCUGGCCUCUGAUGAUGUGUGACUAGGUCAUGCUUCCAUUUGAAGAUGUGUGACCAGGUCAUGCUUGCCUUUGAAGAUAUGUGUGACUAGAUCAUGCUGGCCUUUGAAGAUGAGUGAUUAGAUCAUGCUGGCCUUUGAAGAUUAGUGAUUAGAUUAUGCUGGCCUUUGAAGUAUGUGUGACUAGGUCAUGCUGGCCUUUGAAGAUGAGUGAUUAGAUCAUGCUGGCCUUUGAAGAUUAGUGAUUAGAUUAUGCUGGCCUUUGAUGAUGUGUGACUAGGUCAUGCUUCCAUUUGAAGAUGUGUGGCUAGGUCAUGCCUGCCUUUAAAGCUGUCUGUGGUUUGAAGCCUGGAGCUGCAUCUUAUGCUAGUGGAUUAUAUUAUGAUAAUUUAUUUGUACAUAACUU